rnacentral:rRNA from 1 species
GACCCUUGCUGUUCUUUUUGUGACCAAUUGGAAACAUCUCAACACUUGUUAUUUCUGUAUCAUGUCUCUAGAGUGGUGUGGAGAACUAUUGGUUCUCUACUAGGAACCGAAUGUUGUCCCAAUUCUGUUUGGCAGUACUAUACUUGGGCAUUUAGCUUUAUGCCUGGCUUUGAUAGAUUGUACAUUGUUGGCUUGGCUGCUAUAUGCUAGGCCAUUUGGCUGGCUCGGAACCAAGCCACUUUUGAACACAAAUGGAUUAACACUCCAUUUGAGAUUGUAUUUACAACUUGUGCCUUUUUGAUUUAUUGGGCGGUUUUGCAGAAACCUGAGAUGGGUGAGAUGGUGAAGAGGGGCGCGGGGAUGCUGAAGGAGAAUACCUCCCAGAUGAUGAUGCUAUACGGUCCACCGGCCCCAACCAUAGGCGGGCACGGCGGUAACUGA